rnacentral:lncRNA from 1 species
GAAAAGAACACAACAAAAGCCAAAACCAAGAUCGUUACAAAAAAAAAAAAAAAAAAAGCCAAAACCAAGACGAGGGGGAGCGGGCGUAAGCCCAAGGUUCUAUAAACAAUUUUAGGCGGCAAUAAAUGAUCCAAGUUCAUGGGCCUUCCUUUUUUUCAGCCCCAAGAGGGCGUAAAAGGAGAGAGAAGGUGGCUUUGGAGUUUCCAAAGCAUUCAUCUCCAUCUCUGUCACCAUCUUUAUAAUAAAAAUAUAAAUCAAACUAAAGGACCA